rnacentral:tmRNA from 2 species
GGGGCUGAUUCUGGAUUCGACGGGAUUUGCGAAACCCAAGGUGCAUGCCGAGGGGCGGUUGGCCUCGUAAAAAGCCGCAAAAAAAUAGUCGCAAACGACGAAAACUACGCUUUAGCAGCUUAAUAACCUGCUUAGAGCCCUCUCUCCCUAGCCUCCGCUCUUAGGACGGGGAUCAAGAGAGGUCAAACCCAAAAGAGAUCGCGUGGAUGCCCUGCCUGGGGUUGAAGCGUUAAAACAAAUCAGGCUAGUCUGGUAGUGGCGUGUCCGUCCGCAGGUGCCAGGCGAAUGUAAAGACUGACUAAGCAUGUAGUACCGAGGAUGUAGGAAUUUCGGACGCGGGUUCAACUCCCGCCAGCUCCACCA